GCAGGAGCUGGCAGGCCUCUGAACUACAGUGACUAUAGGACUUGUGCUCCUCGUACGCUGGGCUAUAAUUUAUGAAACUGAGCCCCAGAUCCAGCCAAUCAUUUAGCUCCUCAUAACAAGUCUGACUGGCUCUGGAAAGCUGAAAGGGCUGCACUAGAACAACAAAGAUGAGAUAUUCCACAUAACACUCAGCUUAUCUGGAAUCACUUUCCCUUGCAAGGCCAGAAAAAAAUGAUAGCUUUAGUGCCCAAGGGAAGCACGACAGAGGACGGGGAAAUGCGACUUCACCUAGAGCAAGAUCUGUUAUGCGUUGGCAAGACCAACCCCGCCGGCCUUAAAGGACCCAGGUACCCCUGGGACUCGGAGGACAACCACAGCAGCAAAAACCCAAAGAUGGUUGACUGAAUUUAACUUGAGAUUUGACACCAAGAAGAAAAACAGAAACACGGGGAAUAGAAACGUGCUGCUGCUCAUGGUGACCGUGUGAGAACUGAAACUUCUGAAGGAAGCCAGGCUGUUAAAACUGUGAUUCCCUCUGCUCAACAAUAACAAGGAUGAUCUAGUCUGAAAGGGAAAGCACGCCCUUAAGGUUGGACUCCUCCUAAAGAAACCCUAGAUCUUGGACCAGGUUGCUGGUGGGGGGCAACUGCGGACAGUUCAAACGUCAACUCUUGGAGCCAGUGUCUGUGGUGUUAACAGAAAGAGAAGCAAUUACUUAGAAAUACAUCAGCUAGAAGGCCUGCUCACCUUGACAAAGCAACAACAACAACAAAAUUUCUUUUAAAUAAAAA